GACGUAGGGGGCCAGCGUUGUUCGGAAUUACUGGGUGUAAAGGGUUCGUAGGCGGUGUGGCAAGUCGGGAGUGAAAUCUCUGGGCUCAACCCAGAGUCUGCUUCCGAAACUGCUGUGCUUGAGUGUGGGAGAGGCGCGUGGAAUCGCAGGUGUAGCGGUGAAAUGCGUAGAUAUCUGCAGGAACACCCGUGGCGAAAGCGGCGCGCUGGACCACUACUGACGCUGAGGAACGAAAGCUAGGGGAGCAAACAGG
rnacentral:rRNA from 1 species